CUUUGCUCCGAGACCCGAGUGGCGAACGGGUGAGUAACACGUGACCAACCUAUCCUAGGGCGGGGGAAACCCGGUGAAAACUGGGCUAAUACCGCAUUACGUCUCUCUUCACAUGUUGAGGAGAUCAAAGAGGGCCUCUGCUUGCAAAGCUCUCACCCCAGGAGGGGGGUCGCGACGUAUCAGCUUGUUGGCGGGGUAACGGCCCACCAAGGCUAUGACGCGUAGCGGAUCUGAGAGGAUGAUCCGUCACAUUGGGACUGAGAUACGGCCCAGACUCC
rnacentral:rRNA from 1 species